rnacentral:tRNA from 1 species
AGACCAAUAGCUCAACUGGCAGAGCACCGGUCUCCAAAACCGGCGGUUGGGGGUUCAAGUCCCUCUUGGUCUG